GAAAUGCGAUACGUAAUGCGAAUUGCAGAACUCAGUGAAUCAUCAAAUCUUUGAACGCAAGUUGCGCUCUCGUUUGCGCGAGAGCAUGCCUCUUUCAGUAUCUUUUCCAUCACAACUCACCUGCGUGCCUUCUUUCACGAAAGUGCGUUCAGUGUGGAGAAUGAGUGCCUGGCUUGCGCCAGCUGCUUUAAGUGGAGUGAGCGACCGUGGCCGUCAAACGCCCCAUCUGCUCUUCUAGAAGUGACGUCGGUAAGGGUGCUUGUCUUUCGGGACUUGCUCCAUGCCUGCGUCUCGCUUCUGUGGGUAGGUGUGUGUCGUGUAUGGCAGGUCUGCAGUAAAUAUGCAGUCGCCUGGCAACAUACCCAACAUCUAGAUCUGAAAUGAGGUAGGAGGACCCGCUGAAUUUAA
rnacentral:misc_RNA from 1 species